UUUUCUUUGGUUUUUUUUUUUUUUGUUUUUGAUUCUGGCCGAGAGCAACAACAAGAACAACAAGGUUUCUAUGACAAGUUUCAUGAGAUCUAUGUUCUCGACAGAGAGGUCUCUAUACUGAGCUGACGAACAUUAUGAUUUGUUAUCUAACAUUCGGUG